rnacentral:rRNA from 1 species
GACGAGGGAUCCUAGCGUUGUUCGGAAUUAUUGGGCGUAAAGCGGACGUAGGCGGCUUGUUUAGUCAGAUGUGAAAGCCCUGGGCUCAACCCAGGAAGUGCAUUUGAUACUGGCAAGCUUGAGUAUGGGAGAGGAUAGUGGAAUUCCUGGUGUAGUGGUGAAAUACGUAGAUAUCAGGAGGAACACCGGUGGCGAAGGCGGCUAUCUGGCCCAAUACUGACGCUCAGGUCCGAAAGCGUGGGGAGCAAACAGG